GCGGCUAUAACUGUUAGAGAAAAGGGACAACCUGGAAAGACAAAGAGCUUGCUUGGCAGGAGAUUGCAAGUCUACGUUGAUCCCAGGCAGGAAGAACGAUGAAGGCAUCCAUUCACACUGUAUUCCUGUUCUCCUGGCUGUGGCUGGACUGGGAGAGCCAUGGAGAGAAGGUCGAGCAGGUUCUUUCUACACUGAGUGUUCGAGAGGGAGACACCGCUGUCAUCAACUGCACGUACACAGACAGUGCUUCAUCAUACUUCCCUUGGUACAAGCAAGAAGCUGGAAAGGGUCUCCACUUUGUGAUAGACAUAAUUUCAAAUGUAGACAGAAAGGAGAAUCAACGAUUUAAAAUUUUACUGGAUAAGAAAGCCAAGAAAUUCUCCUUGCACAUCACAGCCACACAGGCUGAAGAUUCAGCCAUCUACUUCUGUGCAGCAAGUACACAAUGUUUCCCAGGCACCUGCAGCCUAUCCUCAAACUUGCUAUGGGGGUGCUAUGGGGGUUGGGGUUCAAUCACAUCCUGUGUCUUGUAGUGAAGCACUUGUCAUAUGGUUUAAUUGCAAUGGAAACUAACAUACAGAUAUUUAAAACAUAUAUGAGAAAGUUCAA